rnacentral:rRNA from 1 species
GACGAACGCUGGCGGCGUGCUUAACACAUGCAAGUCGAACGGAAAGGCCCUGCUUUUGUGGGGUGCUCGAGUGGCGAACGGGUGAGUAACACGUGAGUAACCUCCCCUUGACUUUGGGAUAACUUCAGGGAACUGGGGCUAAUACCGGAUAGGAGCUCCUGCAGCAUGGUGUGGGUUGGAAAGUUUCGGCGGUUGGGGAUGGACUCGCGGCUUACCAGCUUGUUGGUGGGGUAGUGGCUUACCAGGUCUUUGAAGGGUAGCCGGCCUGAGAGGGGGACCGGCGACAUUGGGACUGCGAUACGGCCCAGACGCCUACGGGCGGCAGCAGUGGGGAAUAUUGCACAAUGGGCGCGAGCCAGAGACAGCAACGCCGCGUGCGGGAAGACGGCCUUCGGGUUGUAAACCGCUUUGUCCUGUGACGAAGCGUGAGUGACGGUAAUGGGUAAAGAAGCACCGGCUAACUACGUG